GUUGUGGUGGAGCUCGGCUGCCCACUCGAACGGAACCACGACAUAUAUAUAUAUAUAUAUAUAUACUGAAAAAUACAGAUUCAAAUGUUCACAAAAGGACAUAAUUUAUCUUAAUGAUGGUGUAUUUGAUGCACUACUAUACAGCAUGCAGGGGGCAGCAGUCCUGCUGCUAGCUGGCUAUAUAACUUCAGAGUCACUGGGAACACAGAGCUUGAAAGCCAGAGAACAACAGACAGAUAACGGGACUGCAGACAAAUAUUUCACAGGUCAGUGUCAAUAAACUGACACCAGCCUCUGGUCUGAAUUGCAUAUCUCCAGGUAGAAUCAUAAUAAAAAGCACAUAAAGCUCUCCUUUUUCACUGAGCACACAAAAGGAAAGACUAAAGAAACAUCAGACAGAUGGAUUAAGUGAAUAACCGUCUUUUAAUUACAUUUUUACCAAAGGUUGAGAUGCUAUUUACGAGAAAAAAUGUGAAGCUACAGCACAUGUAAGGGGGACAGGAAAAGAGGGAAGAGAAGAAUAAGAUAUACCCAGCUGGCACAAAUGAACGUAAAUGAAAUUAAGUCGACUGAACAGCAGGAAAUACAAUUUGUGCCGGAAACUGUCAGACUGAUCUCAUCCAUCUCUCAAACAAGGCUAUCAAUCACUGUCUCAUCCCUGUCUCCAGCAUGGUUUUUCUUACCUCCAGCUGGCUGUACUUUAGCACUGAAGUCAUGUUAGCUGAAAUUCAUUGCUUCUCUUUGCUCAUCUCAUUUUCUUCAGAAUUUCAACCCUGGAAAAGUAUUAUUCUGCCUAUAUAACUGAGCAAUAAGCAGAUCUUGGGCAGGAAUGGAGGCUGCAGCAUUUAAUCGACACAGCCAUGUUCUGGGAAAUCUGGAUUACAUUCCUGUCUCUGUAGUGGACACUGGAAACAUACUCCCCUGUGCUCUAUGUGUCUCCACCUGCAAGGUGCAAAUCACUAUCACUUACAAAUUGCAAGUAAACUACAUGAUCUUCCAAGGCAUCAACCAAUCUUGUUCUCAGGAAAAUGAAUGGAGUGGAGGUUGUCUUCUGGUCAGAUUUUGACAGGAAUGCAUGGCUUGACAUACACUGGAGGAAGUAAGAUGCCCAGCUUGCCCUUGGAAUUGGAGUCCCCUUUGGUCAUACUUUUCAAGAGAGUUCCUAGUUAGUUUAAUUUAAAAAAAUCAUGCAUAUUAUUUUCUUCUAAAGCGAGACUCUAGAUAUUUCAUGCAUGGCACCUCCAUGAUACAGAAAUUUGGUAAUUUAUGACACUCAAAUUACUAAUGUGUAUUUUGUAGCAGUUAACCAAGUGCAUUUAAAAUGAUCUUUUUAAAAAUUUUAUUUAGCAUGGGCUAUUCCUUGAGGUGUUACCUUCCUUACUUUGAAACACAAUUAAAUAAAAAAAAAGUACAGAAAAUGUGCCUUUAAAAC
rnacentral:lncRNA from 1 species